rnacentral:rRNA from 1 species
AACGAACGCUGGCGGCAUGCCUAACACAUGCAAGUCGAACGAGACCUUCGGGUCUAGGGGCGCACGGGGGCGUAACGCGUGGGAACCUGCCCUUAGGUUCGGAAUAACUCCCCGAAAGGGGUGCUAAUACCGGAUAAUGUCUUCGGACCAAAGAUUUAUCGCCUUUGGAUGGGCCCGCGUUGGAUUAGCUAGUUGGUAGGGUAAAAGCCUACCAAGGCGACGAUCCAUAGCUGGUCUGAGAGGAUGAUCAGCCACACUGGGACUGAGACACGGCCCAGACUCCUACGGGAGGCAGCAGUGGGGAAUAUUGGACAAUGGGCGAAAGCCUGAUCCAGCAAUGCCGCGUGAGUGAUGAAGGCCUUAGGGUUGUAAAGCUCUUUUACCCGGGAUGAUAAUGACAGUACCGGGAGAAUAAGCUCCGGCUAACUCCGUG